AACGAACGCUGGCGGCAGGCCUAACACAUGCAAGUCGAACGCUCCAGCAAUGGAGAGUGGCAGACGGGUGAGUAACGCGUGGGAACCUACCCUUUGGUUCGGAAUAGCCCAGGGAAACUUGGGGUAAUACCGGAUAAGCCCUUCGGGGGAAAGAUUUAUCGCCAAUGGAUGGGCCCGCGUCGGAUUAGCUAGUUGGUGGGGUAACGGCCUACCAAGGCGACGGUCCGUAGCUGGUCUGAGAGGAUGAUCAGCCACACUGGGACUGAGACACGGCCCAGACUCCUACGGGAGGCAGCAGUGGGGAAUAUUGGACAAUGGGCGCAGGCCUGAUCCAGCCAUGCCGCGUGAGUGACGAAGGUCUUCGGAUUGUAAAGCUCUUUUGGCGGGGACGAUAAUGACGGUACCCGCAGAAUAAGCCCCGGCUAACUUCGUGCCAGCCGCCGCAGUAAUAC
rnacentral:rRNA from 1 species